GCGGAGCCUCAGAGCCCUGGACAGAAUGCAGCAGCAGACAUGAAGACAGCCUACUUACCGCUUUAACGAUGCAGAGUCCGGCUGUCAUCUGUCAUCAGCUCUGAUGGCAACUCCGGGGACUGAAAACAAACAAACAAACAGACCAAAUGUUAAUUCUUUACCCGGCGAACGAUCGAAGUGUCUGGCUUUACAAAGACUGUAAGGAAAUGUUAUCUGAAGAUCUAAACAGGGAAAUCCUAAACGCCGAAGUGAUGGACAAAAGGAGACACGGGAGUGCACAGACUGCAGAGGCAGACUCUCUGGCGCCGGCGCCGUGACGUCACCCCAUUCACAGCAGCCCUCCAGCCAGCCCUCGCGGCGCCGCUGAGGCGGUUUCCAUGGGAACGGGGUUUCGGGGCUGUCAAUCAGAGGUAGUUCUCAGCUGAUCAACCCGGGCAGAACCGGGAAGGUUCUAGGACGGGAUGUGGGGCGCUGUGGGUUUCCUCUUCGGUGUUGGCCAGCUCCAGUUACUCAAGUGCUGUACACAUCGGAUACUGAGUAUUACCAUUUCAUAUUUCUCACAAUUCAGAGGAAGAUCUAAGCUACUUUUUUACCCCGUUAUAGUAGGACUACUCCUUGUAGCUUUGGCUUCCUAUUAAUUCACAUAUUCAUAAAAUAUGAUGAUAUCAUAAAAUACAAUGCACUGUUUAAACA